rnacentral:lncRNA from 1 species
CCACCCUGCCGCCAGGACGGACAGUGCCUUUCCACGGCGGACUCUGGGGGGCGGACGGGCAGCUGUCUCCGGAGGAUUCCGGGCCCUGGGCAAUGCAGCCACGGCCUGGAUGGGAUCCUUUCAAGUCCCAGCGAUUCUUCCCGGACCGGAACUCCUGGCAGGAGCUGGACUGCGCUGCUCAUCUGCAGCAGGCUCUGGGGUCCUUCUGCCAGCGCGGGCCUCGCCGCCCCGAGGGGCUUUGGGAGACUUGGGCGCGCUUUCCCCUGGACAGCAGCCUUUGCCCGCGCAAAGCCGGCAAUUCGUGCUGAACGAGUGAGCGACGCUAGAGCAGUAGAUUCAUGGGAGAGUGACACGAUCGGUACCCAGGGACUGUGCGGCGAGAAGGAGCCACGCGGGCUUCGGCACGACUCCAGGCAGGCCCGGAUUCUCGUGGCUCCUCACCCGGCGCUCAGGGAGGGUCCAGGUCUCCAGGGCGCAGAGGCAGGGACAGGAACAGCCUCUGAGGUCGCACCCCGUGGCCCCGGGUCCGCCUCCCCAGCACUGCACUGCGCCGCGGGAGCGCGCAGCCCGGGUCCCGCCCCCUGCCGAUGCGCCCCGCCCCUCCCGGCGCGUGUCGCCCCCGCGCCCGGGGAGCCCCGGAGGAGCGGACUGGGUCGGCGCCCCUGGUCCCGGCGCAGGCGCGGUCCUGAGCCGGGCGCUCCGCACGCGCCCCCGCCCCGGGCGCCUCUGAUUGGCGGUCGGCGGGGCCAGCAGGUGUCGGCGGCGGCUGCUGCGGCCAGGCUGCCUGCGGCGCGGGCGCCUCCCUCGCAGCCGCUGCCGCCGCCGGCGCCGCCACGCUCCCGGCUCCCGCUGCGGCUGCGGUUCUGGCGCCCGAGUCCCCGCGGCGCUGCAGCCCAGCCUGGGCGCCCAGACCGACCCGCGCGUCGCGCUGCGGCAGGUGCCCUGGGCAUCCCGAGACGCAGUGCCUGCUCCCGGCCGGCCACCCCGCGUGAGUACCAUCUCCGUUGGCAGCUUUGCGCCGCUCUGUCCCUCUCACUCUGCCGCAACUUCAGGGGUGGGUGUUUGGAGGGGGUCUCCCGCCUCCCCAACCCGCGCAUUCCUGAUCCUGGAUCCCCGGGCGCAGCCAGCCAGUCUGCCUUUGCGGAGCGGCGCGGGAGGCACUUGAACUUGCUCGGGGCUCGUGGCGGAGUCGGAGCCGCGCCUCUCCCCGGCGGACAGGGCGGGAGCUCGCCUCUGCGCUUCCCUCCGGCGCCGGCCACGUAG